GAUGAAGAACGCAGCGAAAUGGGAUACGUAAUGUGAAUUGCAGAAUUCAGUGAAUCAUCGAGUCUUUGAACGCACAUUGCGCCCCCUGGUAUUCCGGGGGGCAUGCCUGUCCGAGCGUCAUUGCUGCCCUCAAGCACGGCUUGUGUGUUGGGCCUCCGUCCUCCUCCCGGGGGACGGGCCCGAAAGGCAGCGGCGGCACCGCGUCCGGUCCUCGAGCGUAUGGGGCUUCGUCACCCGCUCUUGUAGGCCCGGCCGGCGCUUGCCGACACAUCAAUCUUUUUUCCAGGUUGACCUCGGAUCAGGGAGGGAUACCCGCUGAACUUAAGCAUAUCAAUAAGCGGAGGA
rnacentral:misc_RNA from 1 species